rnacentral:rRNA from 1 species
GAUGAACGCUGGCGGCGUGCCUAAUACAUGCAAGUCGAGCGAACGGACGAGAAGCUUGCUUCUCUGAUGUUAGCGGCGGACGGGUGAGUAACACGUGGAUAACCUACCUAUAAGACUGGGAUAACUUCGGGAAACCGGAGCUAAUACCGGAUGAUAUUUUGAACCGCAUGGUUCAAAAGUGAAAGACGGUCUUGCUGUCACUUAUAGAUGGAUCCGCGCUGCAUUAGCUAGUUGGUAAGGUAACGGCUUACCAAGGGAACGAUGCAUAGCCGACCUGAGAGGGUGAGAGGCGGCAACGGAAGUGAGACAGGGAGGGGGGAGGUCGGGGAGGCAGCAGUAGGGAGUCUUACGGAAUGGUCGAAAGCAUGACGGCGCAACGCCGCGGGAGUGAUGAAGGUGUUCGGAUCGUAGAACUCUGUUAGUAGGGAAAAACAAAUGUGUAAGUAACUAUGCACGUCUUGACGGUCCCUAAUCAGGAAGCCAGGGCUGACUACGUG